rnacentral:rRNA from 1 species
GAUGAACGCUGGCGGCGUGCCUAAUACAUGCAAGUCGAGCGAACAGACGAGGAGCUUGCUCCUCUGACGUUAGCGGCGGACGGGUGAGUAACACGUGGAUAACCUACCUAUAAGACUGGGAUAACUUCGGGAAACCGGAGCUAAUACCGGAUAAUAUAUUGAACCGCAUGGUUCAAUAGUGAAAUACGGUUUUGCUGUCACUUAUAGCUGGAUCCGCGCCGCAUUAGCUAGUUGGUGAGGUAACGGCUUACCAAGGCAACGAUGCGUAGCCGACCUGAGAGGGUGAUCGGCCACACUGGAACUGAGACACGGUCCAGACUCCUACGGGAGGCAGCAGUAGGGAAUCUUCCGCAAUGGGCGAAAGCCUGACGGAGCAACGCCGCGUGAGUGAUGAAGGUCUUCGGAUCGUAAAACUCUGUUAUUAGGGAAGAACAAAUGUGUAAGUAACUAUGCACGUCUUGACGGUACCUAAUCAGAAAGCCACGGCUAACUACGUG